GUCGAGCGCUGAUUUGAGGGUAGCAAUAUUUUCAAGUCGGAGCGGCGCAAGGGUGCGUAACACGUGGGAAUCUGCCUUGAAGUGUGGGAUAACUCCGAGAAAUCGGAGCUAAUACCGCAUGUGAUCGUAAGAUCAAAGUUGGGGAUCGCAAGACCUGACGCUUCAAGAUGAGCCCGCGGCCUAUCAGCUAGUUGGCGAGGUAAAAGCUCACCAAGGCUAAGACGGGUAGCUGGUCUGAGAGGACGACCAGCCACACUGGAACUGAGACACGGUCCAGACACCUACGGGUGGCAGCAGUCGAGAAUUUUUCUCAAUGGGCGAAAGCCUGAAGGAGCGACGCCGCGUGGGGGAUGAACGGCUUCGGCCCGUAAACCCCUGUCAUUUGCGAACAAAUUGCUUCACCCAACACGUGAAGCAUUGAUAGUAGCGGAAGAGGAAGGGACGGCUAACUCUGUGCCAGCAGCCGCGGUAAUACAGAGGUCCCAAGCGUUGUUCGGAUUCACUGGGCGUAAAGGGUGCGUAGGCGGUCGGGCAAGUCUGACGUGAAAUCUCCGGGCCUAACCCGGAAACUGCGUUGGAUACUAUCCGGCUAGAGGAAUGGAGGGGAGACUGGAAUACUUGGUGUAGCAGUGAAAUGCGUAGAUAUCAAGUGGAACACCAGUGGCGAAGGCGAGUCUCUGGACAUUUCCUGACGCUGAGGCACGAAAGCCAGGGGAGCAAACGGGAUUAGAUACCCCGGUAGUCCUGG
rnacentral:rRNA from 1 species